UGCAUAUUAGGGUUGUGGAAUUAAGAUAUUCUGACAAUACAGCUUCAGAGGCUGUGUGUGCAUAUCUCACCACUCCUAAGCUCUAGAGAAGCUCCCAAGAACACAGACCAGUGAGGACAACUUCUCCUGACUUCUUUCACAGAUAAGAUGUCAGAGUCUGUCAAAUUAAAUAAGAAGACUGAGCACAUGCACAGACAUGGUCUUUUGCAAAAGGGACCGUAUGACUUCUGUAAAGUUUGUACCUGAAAGAACAGACUGAGGAAUUCUGAGAAGUUCUUCAUUAUUCUUUCUGAUAAAAUACAUAGGGGAAGACAAGAAAACUGAAAUAGCAUGAAGGAUUGGCCUGCUCAAAUUCAGCUUGAAAACUGUGGCAAAGUUUGAAAAUGAAUCUUUACCCCUGAAUCUUUAUUGAAGCUCAGUCUUUUAUAAUAUGAAGAACCAGAAAGAGCUACUUCUCUGCAGAAACUGCACAUCUACAAGAGUGCUUGUAGUCUUGAUAAAGGAAGUUUAAGGCUAAUCUAUCAUGGAUUUUUAAUAGCUGUCAGCAGGAGAAAGAAUUCUGGCAGGUCAGCAUUGUGGGCACUAUACAAUAAGAAAGAUUCAUGGUCUACAGAUAUAAAUAUUGUCACCUUUACACCUGUCUGGUACAUACGACUUUGA
rnacentral:lncRNA from 1 species